GUAAAAUGGUACUUAUUUGAAAUCAAUUUGUAGGAAAAAUAAAUCAUUACUAAUACCACUCCUACUGCUUUUAGUAGGUAUACACAUUAAAUUACUUUAUGUUUUAUAUCAUAUAAUAUCGAAUUACGAUAAAAGGGAUUUCCAAUUGCAGAGGAAAUAUUUGGACAACGAUUAUUUUUGAUACAAUUACAUAGAUAUUAGUAUAAUUGAUAAGUUUAAAUUUUUGGAAGAGCACA